AUCCUGAGGCACUUUAAAUAAGCCUAGCCUAUCAGCUGUGACAAAUACAUGUACAAUGAAUAUUUCGUUUGGAGUAUCAAUUGACAGUAUUCUGCGACAUAUAUAUUUCGUUCUGAGUAUCAAUUGACAGUAUUUUGCGACAGCCUGGUGGCGCAUGGCAACUACCAGAAUCCCAUCCAGUAUUGGUUGUGUCCAUUAUUGCACGAGUAGUUCAACAGAAGAUGUGGAAAAUGCAAUACACAGUUUUUCUUCUUUGCAUCAUCGCUGCAGACGGAAAACCAAGAGUGGCUUUCACUGCCACCUUGUCAAAGGAUACAUCCCUUGGAUACCACCAAGCUGUACGUUAUGACUGAGUAAUUACCAAUAUAGGAGGCGCAUAUCAUCCAUGGACCGGACAUUUUAAAGUCCCAUACAAUGGUAUAUAUCUCAUAUCGUGUACAGCAAUGGGUGAAAUAAGGAGAUCUACGUACGUGCAGAUUGUAAAAAACAAUCGAGCUUUAACAACAUUGUUUACUAACUCUAAAACCUAUCCUCAGAGUGCCCAGACUCUGGUUCUUUAUUUGAAGAAGAAUGACCGUAUUUGGGUUUGGGGACGAAACAGCUACCAGCGUUUGAAUGACAAUAGUAAUUUCAACGUAUUUUCUGGUGUUUUAUUGUAGUUAUUUAUCUGUAUACAACAUACUGCAUGUAGAGCAAAUACAUUUGCUGUAACGUGUAUAGUUGUGUUUAUAUUGUAUAGAAAUAAACUAUUAUAGUUAUG